rnacentral:rRNA from 1 species
AUGGAGACAUCGUGGAUUACCCAAAUUGGGACGACGAUAGGACAUUUCACUUUCUUUCGCAAUAUUUCUGAUCAUGACUCCCUUUUUAGAAUGGCUCCAGUGGCUACAUUUAUGUUAAGUCUGGUCGCUUGGGCCAUUGUACCUUUUGAUUAUGGUAUGGUAUUGUCAGAUCCGAACAUAGGGCUACUUUAUUUGUUUGCCAUAUCUUCGCUAGGUGUUUAUGGAAUAAUUAUAGCAGGUUGGUCUAGUAAGACGGGGGGCGGCCGUUCGGUCGCCUAUAAUAUACGGACCAAUUGGUCAAAAAUGGGGCUAGGGCUCAUAAACCCUUUCUUUCAUUCAUCAAGGGGUCGGUCACUUUUCCGGGCCGGGAUCGAGAAGUGGAAGUCAUAA